rnacentral:rRNA from 1 species
UAGGGAAUCUUCCGCAAUGGGCGAAAGCCUGACGGAGCAACGCCGCGUGAGUGAUGAAGGUCUUCGGAUCGUAAAACUCUGUUAUUAGGGAAGAACAAAUGUGUAAGUAACUAUGCACGUCUUGACGGUACCUAAUCAGAAAGCCACGGCUAACUACGUGCCAGCAGCCGCGGUAAUACGUAGGUGGCAAGCGUUAUUCGGAAUUAUUGGGCGUAAAGCGCGCGUAGGCGGUUUUUUAAGUCUGAUGUGAAAGCCCACGGCUCAACCGUGGAGGGUCAUUGGAAACUGGAAAACUUGAGUGCAGCAGAGGAAAGUGGAAUUCCAUGUGUAGCGGUGAAAUGCGCAGAGAUAUGGAGGAACACCAGUGGCGAAGGCGACUUUCUGGUCAGUAACUGACGCUGAUGUGCGAAAGCGUGGGGAUCAAACAGG